rnacentral:rRNA from 1 species
GAUGAACGCUGGCGGCGUGCCUAAUACAUGCAAGUCGAGCGAACAGACGAGGAGCUUGCUCCUCUGACGUUAGCGGCGGACGGGUGAGUAACACGUGGAUAACCUACCUAUAAGACUGGGAUAACUUCGGGAAACCGGAGCUAAUACCGGAUAAUAUAUUGAACCGCAUGGUUCAAUAGUGAAAGACGGUUUUGCUGUCACUUAUAGAUGGAUCCGCGCCGCAUUAGCUAGUUGGUAAGGUAACGGCUUACCAAGGCAACGAUGCGUAGCCGACCUGAGAGGGUGAUCGGCCACACUGGAACUGAGACACGGUCCAGACUCCUACGGGGGGCAGCAGUAGGGAAUCUUCCGCAAAGGGCGAAAGCUUGACGGAGCAACGCCGCGUGAGUGAUGAAGGUCUUCGGAUCGUAAAACUCUGUUAUUAGGGAAGAACAAAUGUGUAAGUAACUAUGCACGUCUUGACGGUACCUAAUCAGAAAGCCACGGCUAACUACGUG